rnacentral:rRNA from 1 species
GAUGAACGCUGGCGGCGUGCCUAAUACAUGCAAGUCGAGCGAAUGGAUUAAGAGCUUGCUCUUAUGAAGUUAGCGGCGGACGGGUGAGUAACACGUGGGUAACCUGCCAUAAGACUGGGAUAACUCCGGGAAACCGGGGCUAAUACCGGAUAACAUUUUGAACCGCAUGGUUCGACAUUGAAAGGCGGCUUCGGCUGUCGCUUAUGGAUGGACCCGCGUCGCAUUAGCUAGUUGGUGAGGUAACGGCUCACCAAGGCAACGAUGCGUAGCCGACCUGAGAGGGUGAUCGGCCAAACUGGGACUGAGACACGGCCCAGACUCCUACGGGAGGCAGCAGUAGGGAAUCUUCCGCAAUGGACGAAAGUCUGACGGAGCAACGCCGCGUGAGUGAUGAAGGCUUUCGGGUCGUAGAACUCUGUUGUUAGGGAAGAACAAGUGCUAGUUGAAUAAGCUGACACCUUGACGGUACCUAACCAGAAAGCCACGGCUAACUACGUGCCAGCCGCCGCAGUAA